GAUGAACGCUAGCUACAGGCUUAACACAUGCAAGUCGCGGGGCAGCAUGGGGGUUGCUUGCCACCCCUGAUGGCGACCGGCGCACGGGUGAGUAACGCGUAUCCAACCUGCCCUUCACCACGGGAUAACCCGGCGAAAGUCCGACUAAUACCGUGUGUUGUCCAUUGACGGCCUCCGAUUUGUACGAAAAGCUUAGCGGUGAAAGGAGGGGGAUGCGUUCGAUUAGCUUGACGGCGGGGUAACGGCCCACCGUGGCUACGAUCGGUAGGGGUUCUGAGAGGAAGGUCCCCCACACUGGAGCUGCGACACGGUCCAGACCCCUACGGGAGGCAGCAGUAAGGAAUAUUGGGCAAUGGGCGUAAGCCUGAACCAGCCAAGUAGCGUGCAGGAUGACUGCCCUAGGGGUUGUAAACUGCUUUUAUGCGGGGAUAGAGUGGCCCACGUGUGGGCUUUUGCAGGUACCGCAUGAAUAAGGACCGGCUAAUUCCGUG
rnacentral:rRNA from 1 species